UUUAAUUCGAAGCAACGCGCAGAACCUUACCACCUUUUGACAUGCCUGGACCGCCAGAGAGAUCUGGCUUUCCCUUCGGGGACUAGGACACAGGUGCUGCAUGGCUGUCGUCAGCUCGUGUCGUGAGAUGUUGGGUUAAGUCCCGCAACGAGCGCAACCCUCGCCAUUAGUUGCCAUCAUUAAGUUGGGCACUCUAAUGGGACUGCCGGUGGUACGCCGGAGGAAGGUGGGGAUGACGUCAAGUCCUCAUGGCCCUUACGGGGCGGGCUACACACGUGCUACAAUGGCGACUACAGAGGGCUGCAACCCAGCGAUGGUGAGCCAAUCCCUAAAAGUCGUCUCAGUUCGGAUUGUUCUCUGCAACUCGAGAGCAUGAAGUUGGAAUCGCUAGUAAUCGCGGAUCAGCAUGCCG
rnacentral:rRNA from 1 species